rnacentral:tRNA from 2 species
GGAGAGAUGGCUGAGUGGUCGAAAGCGCCAGAUUGCUAAUUUGGUGAACGGUUAACGCUGUUCCGCGGGUUCAAAUCCCGCUCUCUCCG